rnacentral:rRNA from 1 species
GAUGCCAACUAGGUGUUGGGGAAGGAGACUUCCUUAGUACCGUAGCUAACGCGUGAAGUUGACCGCCUGGGGAGUACGGUCGCAAGAUUAAAACUCAAAGGAAUUGACGGGGACCCGCACAAGCGGUGGAUGAUGUGGAUUAAUUCGAUGCAACGCGAAAAACCUUACCUACCCUUGACAUGCCAGGAAUCCCGGAGAGAUUUGGGAGUGCUCGAAAGAGAGCCUGGACACAGGUGCUGCAUGGCUGUCGUCAGCUCGUGUCGUGAGAUGUUGGGUUAAGUCCCGCAACGAGCGCAACCCUUGUCAUUAGUUGCCAUCAUUUAGUUGGGCACUCUAAUGAGACUGCCGGUGACAAACCGGAGGAAGGUGGGGAUGACGUCAAGUCCUCAUGGCCCUUAUGGGUAGGGCUUCACACGUCAUACAAUGGUCGGUACAGAGGGUUGCCAAGCCGCGAGGUGGAGCCAAUCCCAGAAAGCCGAUCGUAGUCCGGAUCGGAGUCUGCAACUCGACUCCGUGAAGUCGGAAUCGCUAGUAAUCGUGGAUCAGCAUGUCACGGUGAAUACGUUCCCGGGUCUUGUACACACCGCCCGUCACACCAUGGGAGUGGUUUUCACCAGAA